rnacentral:lncRNA from 1 species
AUCAUCAAAAAGGGGGAGAUUGUGGAGUGAUUGAUUAAAACCCUAUUUGAUUUUGAUGAGCUCAAAGCAUUUGAGUAUAUCUAUUGUUAACUAAUGAAUUCAAUUAAGUGUUUCAGUGAAAAUCUUGCCUAAGUGUCUCUAGACAUGGUUCAUAGUAUUUUGGAUAAGUUAAGAAGUCAGCUUGAACCAAAGUCUGAGACUCGAGUCGACUCCCGAGUAUCAC